GGAUUGGGCAGAGGUCGAAAGUGCAGCGGAUUUAUUGGCGCAAGAGCAACGAUGUUUCUGCUCCUAACUUAGGCUUUAUCACGCUUGAUAAAGAUAAAUUGUCUGACAGGAGCCAAAAUGUUGCUAUUCUUCGUCCAAUAAAUCUACCUGCACUUAAGAUACGUGCCCAGUGUUUUCUUUAAUAUUUCAAGCUCUUUCUAAAAUACUGCAAGAAAAAGCAUUCUACAUCUAAAAGAGGAAUUGUCACUUCUCAGCAUUUUCCAUAUAUCAUUUACUAAUCCUGAUAAUUAACAAAUAUACUUGUGUAAACUGUGCAAAAUGAAAUUAAAUGUAGAAUUCCACACCUCUUAUUCCUGUUACUGAGUGUCUCCAUCUUAGCUCCCUGUCAAUCAUUGUUAUAAAUGCUAUACAUACAGCUUGCAAUCAGCAUAGAGAAAG